rnacentral:snRNA from 1 species
AUCGCUUCUCAGCCUUUUGGCUAAGAUCAACUGUAAAAAAAAGCACAUGAAAUACAUUUGUACUUAAAUUUAGGAACACAAUUUCUGAAAUGGUCCUGAAACCAUGUCUUCCAUUUUAUACUAUGUAAUAACAUGAAGUAAU